GUCCAUUGCUUCGGAAGUACAUAAACUAAAAUUGGAACAAUACAGAGAAGAUUAGCAUGAUGACAUGCAAAAUCGUGAAAAAAAAUAAAAAUAA
rfam:Acyrthosiphon pisum strain LSR1 Contig35631, whole genome shotgun sequence.